CCCUUAGAUGUUCUGGGCCGCGCGCGCGCUACACUGACGAAUGCAACGAGCUUAUAACCUUGGCCGAAAGGUCUGGGUAAUCUCCAAAUUUCGUCGUGAUGGGGAUAGAUUAUUGCAAUUAUUAAUCUUCAACGAGGAAUGCCUAGUAAGCGCAAGUCAUCAGCUUGCGUUGAUUACGUCCCUGCCCUUUGUACACACCGCCCGUCGCUACUACCGAUUGAAUGAUUUAGUGAGGACUUCGGACUGGGACCGAUGCGGCUUUCGGGCUGCGUCGGUAUUCUGGAAAGAUGUCCAAACUGUAUCAUUUAGAGGAAGUAAAAGUCGUANCA
rnacentral:rRNA from 1 species